UACAGAGGAUGCAAGCGUUAUCCGGAAUGAUUGGGGCGUAAAGCGUCUGUAGGUGGCUUUUAAGUCCGCCGUCAAAUCCCAGGGCUCAACUCUGGACAGGCGGUGGGAAAACUACCAAGCUGGAGUACGGUAGGGGGCAGAGGGGAAUUUCCGGUGGAGCGGUGAAAUGCGUAGAGAUCGGAAAGAACACCAACGGCGAAAGCACUCUGCUGGGCCGACACUGACACUGAGAGACGAAAGCUAGGGGGAGCGAAUGGG
rnacentral:rRNA from 1 species